AUACUGAAUAUCUGGGAGGUUCCUAGUCAACAAGAGUCCACUUUCUGGGUGUGGAUGGAAUAAGAACACAGGGUGAUGGAUGGUGUCAAGGAUAUUUCACAACAGCCACUCAAGAGGCUUGUGAACUGAACCAGCCUCUUACUGGAGAUGCCAUUUCUGGACCAGUGUGCUAAUGUUUCCCGGAUCCAGUGACCCUCCUCCUGCACUUGGCUGGUUCUGUUUCCUCUCAUCCCAGACAAUGAGAGUUGAAACUGGAGGAGAGCCCUUCUGUGCCCAUGAACACAGCAGAAAUUUUAUAAGAAAAGCCAGUGGGCUCCCAGACAAAGUUAAAAAGGUA
rnacentral:lncRNA from 1 species